rnacentral:rRNA from 1 species
CUUCGGGGGUACUCGAGCGGCGAACGGGUGAGUAACACGUGAGCAACCUGCCCCUGACUCUGGGAUAAGCCUGGGAAACUGGGUCUAAUACCGGAUAUGACUCGCGGCCGCAUGGUCUGCGGGUGGAAAGAUUUAUCGGUUGGGGAUGGGCUCGCGGCCUAUCAGCUUGUUGGUGGGGUGAUGGCCUACCAAGGCGACGACGGGUAACCGGCCUGAGAGGGCGACCGGUCACACUGGGACUGAGACACGGCCCAGACUCCUACGGGAGGCAGCAGUGGGGAAUAUUGCGCAAUGGGCGAAAGCCUGACGCAGCGACGCCGCGUGGGGGAUGACGGCCUUCGGGUUGUAAACCUCUUUCAGCAUCGACGAAGCCUUUCGGGGUGACGGUAGGUGCAGAAGAAGCGCCGGCUAACUACGUGCCAGCAGCCGCGGUAAUACGUAGGGCGCAAGCGUUGUCCGGAAUUAUUGGGCGUAAAGAGCUCGUAGGCGGUUUGUCGCGUCUGUCGUGAAAGCCCACGGCUUAACUGUGGGUCUGCGGUGGAUACGGGCAGACUAGAGGCAGGUAGGGGAGAAUGGAAUUCCCGGUGUAGCGGUGAAAUGC